AAGACUAUACUUUCAGGGAUCAUUUCUAUAGUGUUCAACUGGAGAAAUGCCUUUCGUGAAAGUUUGGUCUCGCUAAUCACGAUGAAGAGGUUUGGCAUCCUUUUCUGAACGUGAAACCAGUACAGGCUUGUAGUUACAGUACUAUGUCUGUCCUAUUGGUGAUCGUUCCGAGCAAUACUAAUAUGCUUGGAGGAAAAAGAUGCGUUCUGAGUGAU